rnacentral:lncRNA from 1 species
UUCCUCCCCCCCUAAAUCCACAGGGUCUCCUGUAGAACCAACCACGUGGAAAAACUUAGUGCUGUAUUUCCAUUUUGCACCAGGAGUCUCUCCUUGUUUGGCCGGGCUGGUGCUUGACACAAGGUUUCUGAAGCUCUGCAUCUGCCCACUGAAAGACGGGCAAAGAAAGAAGGAAAAAAGGUUUAUACACUUACUCUUUGCUGAGCACUGGAGAAAGCCUGAGUCUAUGAAAAGUGAUGCCUUUGUUGCCUUGCUCUCAAGAUGCCACCUCUUUGAGAAAACCAAACUAAAAAGCCCCGAAAAAUAAGUCACAGAGAAUGAGAUAUGACAAAGCUGGAUGAGACCACAUGUCAGUGACAGACCUAAGGUAAAGACCUCCCAUUCCUCACUGUGAUGCAGGUAAGUGGCCUCGCUGUGACUUCCGUCAGUCAUGCCUCUCCAUUUCCCAGCUUUGGUCUUUGUAAAGCGCAG